UGCUCAGGCUCCGCAGCGGCAGCGGAGAAAGGAAGAGAACAAGGGGGAGCGGACUGGGAGAGAAAUCAAGCUGAAUUGGAGCAGUGGUCGACUUUGACGCAGUGCGCAGCAGCAGCCAUCCAGAGAUAUCUAUCUACGUGUAAGAGUGGAGGCAGACAAAACUGCAGGAAUGUGGAGGGAUAAAAGGGAGACGAGAAGAAUGAGGAGAAGGAAUCCUGUCGCUGCUCAAAUUCCCGAGGGCAAUGAGGGCCGUCAGUCCCUGAGCUGAGCCGAACUGAGCUGCAAGAUUGAAAGGAGGAAGAAGAAGAAAAGCUCACGCCCCCAAAGGUAAGAAGUAGUAACUAGUGCUAUCCUCUCAUUCCUCUACUAAUGUGUGCAGCACCAGUCCUUCCCACAGUUCCCACACAGAGAGGAGAGAAAAAGAGAGAAGCAACUAACUUCGCUCAGUUUCAGUUCAGCUCCUGCCUGCUUGCAGCUGCUUCUGCUCCUGUUUCUGCUACUGCUCGCCUGUUGGGUGCUGCUGCUGUUCCCAAAGGACGCGGACUAAGAAGCAGUAGAGCACUACUGCUGGUUAAGAGAGAGACCUUCCCAACACUUUAGUGUGAAGAGAGAGGCGCACUGCCUGUGCUGCUGCUGCUGCU